rnacentral:pre_miRNA from 1 species
AGUGGGAUAACUGGAUCAAAUGGUAGGUCUAUUUUAAGUUUUCUGAUGAAUUUCCAUACUGCUUUCCAGAGUGGUUGCACCAAUUUGAAGUCCCACUAGCAAU